rnacentral:rRNA from 1 species
GACGAACGCUGGCGGCGUGCUUAACACAUGCAAGUCGAACGGAAAGGCCCUUCGGGGUACUCGAGUGGCGAACGGGUGAGUAACACGUGGGUGAUCUGCCCUGCACUUUGGGAUAAGCCUGGGAAACUGGGUCUAAUACCGAAUAGGACCACGCGCUUCAUGGUGUGUGGUGGAAAGCUUUUGCGGUGUGGGAUGGGCCCGCGGCCUAUCAGCUUGUUGGUGGGGUAAUGGCCUACCAAGGCGACGACGGGUAGCCGGCCUGAGAGGGUGACCGGCCACACUGUGACUGAGAUACGGCCCAGACUCCUACGGGAGGCAGCAGUGGGGAAUAUUGCACAAUGGGCGCAAGCCUGAUGCAGCGACGCCGCGUGAGGGAUGACGGCCUUCGGGUUGUAAACCUCUUUCACCAGGGACGAAGCGUAAGUGACGGUACCUGGAGAAGAAGCACCGGCCAACUACGUG